rnacentral:rRNA from 1 species
UACAUGGGGGUGCAAACGUUGCUCGGAAUUAUUGGGCGUAAAGCGCACGUAGGCGGUUCGUUAAGUCGGAUGUGAAAGCCCUCGGCUCAACUGAGGAAGUGCACCCGAAACUGGCGAGCUUGAGUACGAAAGAGGAUCGCGGAAUUCCCGGUGUAGAGGUGAAAUUCGUAGAUAUCGGGAGGAACACCAGUGGCGAAGGCGACUCACUGGCCCGAUACUGACGCGUGAGGCGCGAAAGCGUGGGGAGCCGAACAGG